rnacentral:rRNA from 1 species
UACGAGGGGGGCAAGCGUUGUUCGGAAUUAUUGGGCGUAAAGGGCGCGUAGGCGGCGCGGAUAGUCGGCGGUGAAAGCCCGGAGCUCAACUCCGGGUCGGCCGUCGAUACUUCCGGGCUUGAGCACUGUAGAGGCAGAUGGAAUUCCGGGUGUAGCGGUGGAAUGCGUAGAGAUCCGGAAGAACACCGGUGGCGAAGGCGGUCUGCUGGGCA